rnacentral:rRNA from 1 species
GACGAACGCUGGCGGCGUGCUUAACACAUGCAAGUCGAACGAAGAGCGAUGGAAGCUUGCUUCUAUCAAUCUUAGUGGCGAACGGGUGAGUAACGCGUAAUCAACCUGCCCUUCAGAGGGGGACAACAGUUGGAAACGACUGCUAAUACCGCAUACGAUCUAAUCUCGGCAUCGAGGAUAGAUGAAAGGUGGCCUCUACAUGUAAGCUAUCACUGAAGGAGGGGAUUGCGUCUGAUUAGCUAGUUGGAGGGGUAACGGCCCACCAAGGCGAUGAUCAGUAGCCGGUCUGAGAGGAUGAACGGCCACAUUGGGACUGAGACACGGCCCAGACUCCUACGGGAGGCAGCAGCGGGGAAUCUUCCGCAAUGGACGAAAGUCUGACGGAGCAACGCCGCGUGAGUGAUGACGGCCUUCGGGUUGUAAAGCUCUGUUAAUCGGGACGAAAGGCCUUCUUGCGAACAGUUAGAAGGAUUGACGGUACCGGAAUAGAAAGCCACGGCUAACUACGUG